rnacentral:rRNA from 1 species
CCCGGUGCCCAUAGGCGGCUGGCCACACCCGUUCCCAUUCCGAACACGGUCGUUAAGCAGCCGUCGCCGAUGAUAGUGGUUCGUCCGCGAAAGUAGGUCAGUGCCGGGC